rnacentral:lncRNA from 10 species
UGAUGAGGAAACCUAGAUUUCCAAGACUUCAUAUCACAGUGCUCAUAAGAGUAGAUCCUGGAUUCAAGGUCUUACUGCUCCUGAAGCCUGUUUAUUUAUCCACAGGAUACUCUCCUGAUAUACCACGAUGCAGAAUGUCAAGUAGGAAAAGAAGCUGUUGCAUUGGGCAAUUAAGAAGUCAUUGGUGAGAGAAGUUUCAGUGAAUGAGCGAAUGAUGGAUCCAUCUCUUGAAGCAAUACUUGAAUCGCAGAAUUCUUAUAUUGAUAGAAGCAGAAGGAAACCAGAAGUGCUCCAAUUAAAGGCCUCCAUUUUUCAGAUCAGCAGACUAUGAGCCAUGCAUAGGAUCACACACAGCUCUUUUAAAAAUUAUGAGCCACUCAGCCUCGGCCUCCGGAGGUGCCGGGAUUGCAGACGGUGUCUGGUUCACUCAGUGCUCAAUGGUGCCCAGGCUGGAGUGCAGUGGCGUGAUCUCGGCUCGCUACAACCUCCACCUCCCAGCCGCCUGCCUUGGCCUCCCAAAGUGCCCAGAGUGCAGCCUCUGCCCGGCCGCCACCCCGUCUGGGAAGUGAGGGGCGUCUCUGCCUGGCCGCCCAUCGCUAAUCUCAAGUACCCAGGGACACAAACACUGUGGAAGGCCGCAGGAUCCUCUGCCUAGGAAAACCAGAGACCUUUGUUCACUUGUUUAUC